GUGCCAGCAGCCGCGGUAAUACAGAGACUGCAAGCGUUGUUCGGAUUCAUUGGGCGUAAAGGGUGCGCAGGCGGCUCGUUAAGUCGGAUGUGAAAUCUCACAGCCUAACUGUGAUAGGUCAUUCGAAACUAGCGGGCUUGAGGACUGGAGAGGAGACUGGAAUAGUCGGUGUAGCGGUGAAAUGCGUAGAGAUCGACUAGAACACCGGUGGCGAAGGCGAGUCUCUGGACAGUUCCUGACGCUCAGGCACGAAAGCCAGGGGAGCAAACGGGAUUAGAAACCCCGGUAGUCC
rnacentral:rRNA from 1 species